GUCCCCUUCGUCUAUAGGUAAGCACAGGACUCUUUCAAGGUUAUAAGAUGGGUUCAAAUGCCACAAAGAAA
rnacentral:tRNA from 1 species